AGAACGUGAGCCCUGGCGCACCGCUGCCCUUCCUCCUGACACGCAGAGCAAAGAAUCCUGUGCUUGGGUCUUGGUUUCAGAAAAGCUGCCUGCCUUCGUGCAACGUCACAGCUGUAGUUCGUCUCCAGGACAAGAGACUUAAGACUGGAUGAAUUUGGUGCCAGAGAGAGAAGACUGAAGCAUGAACAGCAUCGACAGUUAUUUCUCGCCCAUGUCAAUAAAGUCAGGAGCUCAACAGGGUGGACCAGACGUAGGAAAGCUUCCUUCACUGUGAACCAGCAUUCUAUGGCUCCCUCAUUCCAGGCACGAAGUUUUACCUCAUGGUUCAAGAUAGCUAUGGAGCUCCAGCCAUCGGAGUCUGCCUUCUAGUCUAUGGAAAUACUCGUUUCUAGACAUCAGGUCAUGGCCAUAUGUAGCUAUGUGUCUUCAUGUAGGUAUAAGAAAUACAAGUAGGAUGCAUAUGCCUGGCUAAGAUUUAAGGGUUCUCUUAGAGAGUAAAGCAGACAGGAGGAGGUCAGUUCCUCUAAGCCAGCUCACAACUCCCUCAGGAACCUCUGCACAACAGUGUCCCACCCCAAAGCAGGAUAAACCAUUCACCAAGCCUAAUGUGGGAAGGCUUCUAGGUCCCAACUGCAGCAUCUUCCCUGCCUUGGGCUGACCACUCUGCUGCCCCUUCCUUCUAAUUCUUGCCACCAUCCAUGAUUGGCAAAAUACUGUGGUAAACAACUUAAUAUUCAGAAGUUAACGUUCAGGUGUGAGCAGCUGACCUGUUGCUUUGCUCUGUGGUAAGGCUUGGUAGAGGAAAACUACUUACUUCAGAAGUGCCAGGAAGAAAUGCACAGAGAAC
rnacentral:lncRNA from 1 species